rnacentral:rRNA from 1 species
AAGACAUUGUGUCUUCGAGUCGUUGAUUUCACACUGCCGAGAAAAGCCUCUAGAUAGAAAAUAGGUGCCCGUACCGCAAACCGACACAGGUAGUCAAGAUGAGAAUUCUAAGGUGAGCGAGCGAACUCUCGUUAAGGAACUCGGCAAAAUGACCCCGUAACUUCGGGAGAAGGGGUGCUCUUUAGGGUUAACGCCCAGAAGAGCCGCAGUGAAUAGGCCCAAGCGACUGUUUAUCAAAAACACAGGUCUCUGCUAAACCGUAAGGUGAUGUAUAGGGGCUGACGCCUGCCCGGUGCUGGAAGGUUAAGAGGAGUGGUUAGCUUCUGCGAAGCUACGAAUCGAAGCCCCAGUAAACGGCGGCCGUAACUAUAACGGUCCUAAGGUAGCGAAAUUCCUUGUCGGGUAAGUUCCGACCCGCACGAAAGGCGUAACGAUUUGGGCACUGUCUCAACGAGAGACUCGGUGAAAUCAUAGUACCUGUGAAGAUGCAGGUUACCCGCGACAGGACGGAAAGACCCCGUGGAGCUUUACUGUAGCCUGAUAUUGAAAUUCGGCACAGCUUGUACAGGAUAGGUAGGAGCCUUUGAAACGUGAGCGCUAGCUUACGUGGAGGCGCUGGUGGGAUACUACCCUAGCUGUGUUGGCUUUCUAACCCGCACCACUUAUCGUGGUGGGAGACAGUGUCAGGCGGGCAGUUUGACUGGGGCGGUCGCCUCCUAAAAGGUAACGGAGGCGCUCAAAGGUUCCCUCAGAAUGGUUGGAAAUCAUUCAUAGAGUGUAAAGGCAUAAGGGAGCUUGACUGCGAGACCUACAAGUCGAGCAGGGUCGAAAGACGGACUUAGUGAUCCGGUGGUUCCGCAUGGAAGGGCCAUCGCUCAACGGAUAAAAGCUACCCCGGGGAUAACAGGCUUAUCUCCCCCAAGAGUUCACAUCGACGGGGAGGUUUGGCACCUCGAUGUCGGCUCAUCGCAUCCUGGGGCUGUAGUCGGUCCCAAGGGUUGGGCUGUUCGCCCAUUAAAGCGGUACGCGAGCUGGGUUCAGAACGUCGUGAGACAGUUCGGUCCCUAUCCGUCGUGGGCGUAGGAAAUUUGAGAGGAGCUGUCCUUAGUACGAGAGGACCGGGAUGGACAUACCUCUGGUGUACCAGUUGUCGUGCCAACGGCAUAGCUGGGUAGCUAUGUGUGGACGGGAUAAGUGCUGAAAGCAUCUAAGCAUGAAGCCCCCCUCAAGAUGAGAUUUCCCAACUUCGGUUAUAAGAUCCCUCAAAGAUGAUGAGGUUAAUAGGUUCGAGGUGGAAGCAUGGUGACAUGUGGAGCUGACGAAUACUAAUCGAUCGAAGACUUAAUCAAAUU